rnacentral:rRNA from 1 species
UGCAAGUCGAACGGCAGCACGGGAGCUUGCUCCUGGUGGCGAGUGGCGAACGGGUGAGUAAUGCGUCGGAACGUGCCGAGUAAUGGGGGAUAACGCAGCGAAAGCUGUGCUAAUACCGCAUACGCCCUGAGGGGGAAAGUGGGGGAUCGCAAGACCUCACGUUAUUCGAGCGGCCGACGUCUGAUUAGCUGGUUGGUGGGGUAAUGGCCUACCAAGGCGACGAUCAGUAGCGGGUCUGAGAGGAUGAUCCGCCACACUGGAACUGAGACACGGUCCAGACUCCUACGGGAGGCAGCAGUGGGGAAUUUUGGACAAUGGGGGCAACCCUGAUCCAGCCAUUCCGCGUGAGUGAAGAAGGCCUUCGGGUUGUAAAGCUCUUUCAGCUGGAACGAAACGGUACGCGCUAACAUCGUGUGCUAAUGACGGUACCGGCAGAAGAAGCACCGGCUAACUACGUGCCAGCAGCCGCGGUAAUACGUAGGGUGCGAGCGUUAAUCGGAAUUACUGGGCGUAAAGCGUGCGCAGGCGGAUUGUUAAGCAAGAUGUGAAAUCCCCGGGCUUAACCUGGGAAUGGCAUUUUGAACUGGCAGUCUAGAGUGCGUCAGAGGGGGGUGGAAUUCCACGUGUAGCAGUGAAAUGCGUAGAGAUGUGGAGGAACACCGAUGGCGAAGGCAGCCCCCUGGGAUGACACUGACGCUCAUGUACGAAAGCGUGGGUAGCAAACAGGAUUAGAUACCCUGGUAGUCCACGCCCUAAACGAUGUCAACUGGUUGUUGGGGGAGUGAAAUCCCUUAGUAACGAAGCUAACGCGUGAAGUUGACCGCCUGGGGAGUACGGUCGCAAGAUUAAAACUCAAAGGAAUUGACGGGGACCCGCACAAGCGGUGGAUGAUGU